ACUCAAAGGAAUAGACGGGGGCCCGCACAAGCGGUGGAGCAUGUGGUUUAAUUCGACGCAACGCGAAGAACCUUACCUGGGCUCGAACGGUGCCUGAAACUCUCUGGAAACAGGGGGCCUCCCGCAAGGGACGGGUAUCGAGGUGCUGCAUGGCUGUCGUCAGCUCGUGUCGUGAGAUGUUGGGUUAAGUCCCGCAACGAGCGCAACCCUUGUCCUGUGUUGCCAACCGAAAGGUGCACUCUCAGGAGACCGCCAGCGAUAAGCUGGAGGAAGGUGGGGAUGACGUCAAGUCAUCAUGGCCUUUAUGUCCAGGGCUACACACGUGCUACAAUGGGCGGUACAGACCGCUGCAAACCCGCGAGGGGGAGCAAAUCGGAAAAAACCGUUCUCAGUUCGGAUUGCAGGCUGCAACUCGCCUGCAUGAAGCUGGAAUCGCUAGUAAUGGCGUAUCAGAACGACGCCGUGAAUACGUUCCCGGGCCUUGUACACACCGCCCGU
rnacentral:rRNA from 1 species